rnacentral:rRNA from 1 species
UACGGAGGGUGCAAGCGUUAUCCGGAUUCACUGGGUUUAAAGGGUGCGUAGGUGGGCAGGUAAGUCAGUGGUGAAAUCUCCGGGCUUAACUCGGAAACUGCCAUUGAUACUGCAGAUCUAGAGUACAGUUGCCGUUGGCGGAAUAUGACAUGUAGUGGUGAAAUACUUAGAUAUGUCAUAGAACACCGAUUGCGAAGGCAGCUAACGAAGCUGUAACUGACGCUGAGGCUCGAAAGUGCGGGGAUCAAACAGG